rnacentral:rRNA from 1 species
CCUGGCUUAGAACGAACGCUGGCGGCGUGCUUAACACAUGCAAGUCGAACGCGAAAGGGACUUCGGUCCUGAGUAAAGUGGCGCACGGGUGAGUAACGCGUAGAUAACCUGUCUUCAUGUCUGGAAUAAUACGCCGAAAGGGGUACUAAUACCGGAUAUUCUUGCUUUUCAUAAGUUAUGCAAGCAAAGGUGGCCUCUGCAUAUGCUACUGCAUGAAGAGGGGUCUGCGUACCAUUAGCUAGUAGGUGGGGUAAUGGCCUACCUAGGCGACGAUGGUUAGCGGGUCUGAGAGGAUGAUCCGCCACACUGGCACUGGAACACGGGCCAGACUCCUACGGGAGGCAGCAGUGAGGAAUAUUGCGCAAUGGGGGAAACCCUGACGCAGCGACGCCGCGUGAGUGAAGGAAGGCCUUCGGGUCGUAAAGCUCUGUCAAGAGGAAAGAAGUGUACAAUGGCUAAUACCUGUUGUAUUUGACGGUACCUCUAAAGGAAGCACCGGCUAACUCCGUGCCAGCCGCUGC